rnacentral:rRNA from 1 species
UACGAAGGGGGCUAGCGUUGUUCGGAAUUACUGGGCGUAAAGGGCGCGUAGGCGGUGUGUCAAGUCAGGCGUGAAAGCCCCGGGCUCAACCUGGGAACCGCGCUUGAGACUGGCACGCUCGAGUUCGGGAGAGGAUGGUGGAAUUCCCAGUGUAGAGGUGAAAUGCGCAGAUAUCAGGAGGAACACCCAAUGCGAAGGCAGCUCGCUGGGACGUUACUGACGCUGAGACGCGAAAGCGUGGGGAGCAAACAGG